rnacentral:rRNA from 1 species
GAUGAACGCUGGCGGCGUGCCUAAUACAUGCAAGUCGAGCGAACAGACGAGGAGCUUGCUCCUCUGACGUUAGCGGCGGACGGGUGAGUACCACGUGGAUAACCUACCUAUAAGACUGGGAUAACUUCGGGAAACCGGAGCUAAUACCGGAUAAUAUAUUGAACCGCAUGGUUCAAUAGUGAAAGACGGUUUUGCUGUCACUUAUAGAUGGAUCCGCGCCGCAUUAGCUAGUUGGUAAGGUAACGGCUUACCAAGGCAACGAUGCGUAGCCGACCUGAGAGGGUGAUCGGCCACACUGGAACUGAGACACGGUCCAGACUCCUACGGGAGGCAGCAGUAGGGAAUCUUCCGCAAUGGGCGAAAGCUUGACGGAGCAACGCCGCGUGAGUGAUGAAGGUCUUCGGAUCGUAAAACUCUGUUAUUAGGGAAGAACAAAUGUGUAAGUAACUAUGCACGUCUUGACGGUACCUAAUCAGAAAGCCACGGCUAACUACGUG